GACGUACCACCCAAACGUUAUUCGGAAUCACUGGGCUUACAGAGUCCGUAGGCGGCUCGGCAAGUUGGGCGUGAAAUACCUCAGCUCAACUGAGGAAUUGCGCUCAAAACUACCGAGCUGGAGAGAGACAGAGGUGAGCGGAACUGAUGGUGGAGCGGUGAAAUGCGUUGAUAUCAUCAGGAACACCGGUGGCGAAGGCGGCUCACUGGGUCUUUUCUGACGCUGAGGGACGAAAGCUAGGGUAGCGAACGGG
rnacentral:rRNA from 1 species